GUCCUAUUAAGAAAUUUGGUACCUGUUGUCAGUCCUCCCUGGCAGCACAUCCUUCUUCUCUCCUUCUGAAUUACAUGAAUUUAAACCAGAGGACGACAUAUCCUUUUUGGAAUAAACCUUUUGGAGCGCAGUGUUCUUGGGGAGAUCCGAUGAGCGCUCAGGAAACAUCAUACGGUGGAAAGAAGAGGGAAUGUGAAAGAGCUGAGCUCAAAUCCCCACUCCGUCACCAGUAGUUGUGUGAACUUGGCUACUAGAACAUUUAAAGAUACAUCUGUGGCUCAAAUUGUAUUUCUAUUGAAUGGUGCUGGUCUACACACAACAUUGGAAAGGAAUGGGGGCAAUUCUUACUAGAAUUUCUCCUUUACUCUAUUUCUUCUAUAGGUUUGAAAUGGGCCUUUACACAUACAUGGCUUUCCUAACCUCCAAAGAAG
rnacentral:lncRNA from 1 species